AUAAAGGACCGGGACAAGAAUCAUUCAUCGUAUGUUACCCGUUUCCAUCUUAGUGUGGAGCAAGCUCGUAAAUGUGCAGGCUCCUAGCUUCGUGAGCAUAGCUCACUUGCUUUCAAUAACUACCUAUGAUGGUUUCCUCAAAAUGCUCGAGUUGAAAUAUGCCCGCCGGCAUACAGUGAGGAUAUUCUUGAAGAUCCGCAACCUUUGAGGAUCUAUUGAAGAAGCAGUACAACAAAAAUGUUAGGGAAGGGUUAGGAGUCCCUGAUGUUUUGGUGAUUAACUUUGUGAUAAAGAAAGCAGCUGAUGAAAGCCAGACUAUUCUGGAGAAGACAUCGGUUGGACAAGGCAAUGAUGAAGGUCCACUAUGAAAAUUCCUCAAGCGUCAGGCCAAGAAGUUAAGGCGGUUAUCAAACCUUCUCAGUUGCCGUGACCCAGAAUAUGAUGAACCAUCUGCCUCUAGAUCUGGUUGAUGAACACUAUGAUGACAUGACUUUGGCGGACGCUCAAGUUCGGCCCGCAUACAUGUUGAAGCCUACGCAGCCCAUACACCGGUUCACGCCCAUUGAUUUUGACAACACAGGCAACCCAAAGGUGGUCGUAGGGAGCUUGCAGGUGGCGAGCUUGGAUGAUGAGAUGGAGGAGGAAGAGGAGACUCCUCCUGCCAGGAGGAAGAAGAUAACCACCAGGCAUGGUGGCAGGAACACGCGCGGAAGGCAUUAGUCGAUGUUGAUUUUAUUAUGAAAAUGAACUUGUCGCCGUUUCAUUAGGUUGAUGAAAUUGUGAGGUUAUGUGAUAUGUUUGUGAACUCUUAGUAGUGUGCUACUUGUUUUUGCGAACUUGUAGUUAU